rnacentral:rRNA from 1 species
CAGUCGCCGCGGGAAAACGUAGGUGGCAAGCGUUGUCCGGAAUUAUUGGGCGUAAAGGGCUCGCAGGCGGUUUCUUAAGUCUGAUGUGAAAGCCCCCGGCUCAACCGGGGAGGGUCAUUGGAAACUGGGAAACUUGAGUGCAGAAGAGGAGAGUGGAAUUCCACGUGUAGCGGUGAAAUGCGUAGAGAUGUGGAGGAACACCAGUGGCGAAGGCGACUCUCUGGUCUGUAGCUGACGCUGAGGAGCGAAAGCGUGGGGAGCGAACAGGAUUAGAUACCCCGGUAGUCCCUGUCUCUUAUAC